rnacentral:rRNA from 1 species
UACAGAGGGUGCAAGCGUUGUCCGGAAUUAUUGGGCGUAAAGGGCUCGUAGGCGGUCUGUUGCGUCGGGAGUGAAAACUCAGGGCUUAACCCUGAGCCUGCUUCCGAUACGGGCAGACUAGAGGUAUGCAGGGGAGAACGGAAUUCCUGGUGUAGCGGUGAAAUGCGCAGAUAUCAGGAGGAACACCGGUGGCGAAGGCGGUUCUCUGGGCAUUACCUGACGCUGAGGAGCGAAAGUGUGGGGAGCGAACAGG